GCUGGCGUAGCUCAACGGCAGAGCAAUGGUUUUGUAAACCAUAGGUUGGAGGUUCGAUUCCUCUCGCCAGCUCCG
rnacentral:tRNA from 2 species